CUCUAACAUUCACUUUGAGCUUUGAACACAGCAACAAAAACCCUAAAAACAGAGGUCCUCCUACUCACUCUGUUCCUCUCUUCAACAAACUCAAGUAGCCGCCGCCGCCGCCGCUCCUCCUCCUCUCCCCGCCGCCGCCGUCGCUUCCCUUCCUUCUCCCACAGGCAAAUCUCAGACUCACUCGAAGCGAAGGUUCAUUCUACUAGUCACUUUGCUCGGAUCCCCAACUUCGAAUUGCACCGUAAUUCUGCUCGUCGCUCGCACAGGAUGUCUCAAUCUAUCCAGCAAUCAUCUAGUAUUCUAAUGGGAUGAUAUAUUAAACUCCAGUCUGUUGGGAAUCAGCUCUUAUAUUCCACGAUUUUACUUAAGUUUAUUUUAGAAUAUGGAGCUUUACCAUGAAGUCUGUGUGCUGUAAACAUAAGGCAGCAGGGGGAGCAUGCUAUGAGACGAUGUGAGUUCUUCCAUGUGUGGAAUUUGCUCCUUUAAUUGCCAAAUCUUUGGGUAGGAGAUAAGCUUGUAAUGUGAACCUAUGUAGUUCCUUCAUAAGUUUCUUUUGGUAUUUUGGCUAACUGAUUGUAUCUAUCUAUUCAUCAUAAAUUUGAACACAAAAUGUGGCAUACUGUGGAUCCACCUCUUCAAUUUUUCUUAUAUAUAUAAUUAUAUAUUGGUGUUUGA